rnacentral:rRNA from 1 species
AACAGGAUGUGCUUGCACAUCGCUGACGAGUGGCGGACGGGUGAGUAAUGCUUGGGAACUUGCCUUUGCGAGGGGGAUAACAGUUGGAAACGACUGCUAAUACCGCAUAAUGUCUUCGGACCAAACGGGGCUUCGGCUCCGGCGCAAAGAGAGGCCCAAGUGAGAUUAGCUAGUUGGUAAGGUAACGGCUUACCAAGGCGACGAUCUCUAGCUGUUCUGAGAGGAAGAUCAGCCACACUGGGACUGAGACACGGCCCAGACUCCUACGGGAGGCAGCAGUGGGGAAUAUUGCACAAUGGGGGAAACCCUGAUGCAGCCAUGCCGCGUGUGUGAAGAAGGCCUUCGGGUUGUAAAGCACUUUCAGUUGUGAGGAAAAGUUAGUAGUUAAUACCAGCUAGCCGUGACGUUAACAACAGAAGAAGCACCGGCUAACUCCGUGCCAGCAGCCGCGGUAAUACGGAG